rnacentral:lncRNA from 1 species
CUCACAGGCGCCGGUCUGGGUUCAGAUCAGUUCCGUUCUCUGGUCUCCCAAGGCCCUUGGUUUAUGGGAUGCCUGCAGACGGAAGCUUUCCCCCCGUCAGCAGGUCUCCACUGAAUCAGCGGCAGGAGUCCUGGAUGAUCCCCCGAUCACGCGGCCCCUCCCCCGCUCCUUCCCGACCCCUCCCCCCCACCGCAGCAAUCGCAGACUCUAGGGGAGGGAGCGAUGUUCUCUCCUACCGUUCCAGCGCCUCCGAGGCUGAUGUAUUCCCUUGGGACAAGACCUGGUCCAGUACUAAGGCUACUCAACCAAAUGGAUUUUUUGGUUGGCUGAACUCGCAGACACUUAGACACAUCAACAGAAGAGCCACUGCUUUAUCCACUCCUGGACUAGAUGAUGAUGAUAAAGAUGCUAAUGAUGAACCCCACAAACUGAAGUUCUGUAUCUAUCCUGAAGAAGAUACUUUCUGAAUAGUCUCUAACUUAUAUUUUUACAUACAAUAUUUUCACGUGCAUUUUCUGCUUCAUAUAAUCACUCGAAAAAAAUUUGUCCUUAAACCUAAGACUAGAACUUUAAGCAAUGUAACAAUACGAUUGACUUUCGGGAUAAUAAAGUUUUU